rnacentral:tRNA from 1 species
CAGAUAGCUCAGUUGGUAGAGCAGAGGACUGAAAAUCCUCGUGUUGCUGGUUCGAUUCCGGCUCUGGG